rnacentral:lncRNA from 1 species
AGAUCCGGCUCGGUUCCUCAUGUUGCGAUCGGAUGCGGUCAUGACAACGAAGGAUUGUUUGUCGGAGCUGCUGGAUUGUUAGGUCUUGGAGCUGGUGAGCUUUCGUUGCCUUCUCAAGUGAAAGCGACGUCGUUUUCGUAUUGUUUACCUGAUCGUGACUCAGCGAGUUCAUCGACUAUUGAUUUUAACUCGGCGAUGCCGGCGGAUUCAGUGACGUCACCGUUGCUUCGUAAUCCCAAGGUUGACACGUUCUUCUAUGUCGGAAUGACCGGACUGAGCGUCGGCGGCGAGUUACUCUCUCUUCCGCCGUCGAUUUUCGAGAUUAACGAGUCAGGACGCGGCGGUGUGAUAGCGGACUCAGGAACAGCUGUGACUCGUUUGCCGAGUCAAGCGUACACCUCGCUCCGUGACUCGUUCAAGCAAGGGACUCAACACUUACCGUUGUCGACUGGCUUCGCGUUGUUCGAUACAUGCUACGACUUGUCGUCGAUGACGAGAAUCUCGGUGCCGACCGUGGCGUUUCAUUUCGCCGGCGGCAAGACACUGCAACUGCCAGCAAAGAAUUACCUGAUACCGGUAGAAGCCGGUGGCAAAUACUGUUUAGCAUUCGCGCCAACAGCAGGAUCACUCACUAUCAUCGGUAACGUUCAGCAGCAAGGGACACGUGUCAGUUACGAUAUCGCCAAUUCAAAAGUGGGGUUCUCGGCUGGUAAAUG